ACGUAACGCAAAUGCAGAUUAAUCUGCACAGAUUAAUUAAUUCGCGGUGUAAAAAUUAAUGGCGUGCUUAAAUUUUCAUCUCGUAUUCCCAAUUAUUCAUCAUAACCGAGUAAAAUGUCAAACAUAUUGGCCUACUUGACUUGUGCUUGUUUUUUUUUGGCAUGUAACGUAUUGUCAUUGAGUAAUUACACUAUGAGAUAUCCCGAACUCUUCAGACAUUACGUUAAUACUAAAUUAUCCGAACGAGGGAGAGAAGUGUUCAUGGACUUUUCAACUACUAUAUCAUGCAAACAAAAGGGCGGCUAUUGUGUUUCCAGAGCGAAUUGUUUAUCAAAGAAAAAAAUUUACUUCAGCGGAGCCUGCAACACCGGUGAUAAAGUAUGUUGCUACGAGGACGAAGGAUGGAAAUGAAAAUUAUAAAUGUAUAUUUGCGUUGCUCUGACAA